AUUGAACACUGGCGGCAGGCCUAACACAUGCAAGUCGAGCGGAUGAAGGGAGCUUGCUCCUGGAUUCAGCGGCGGACGGGUGAGUAAUGCCUAGGAAUCUGCCUGGUAUUGGGGGAUAACGUCCGGAAACGGGCGCUAAUACCGCAUACGUCCUGAGGGAGAAAGUGGGGGAUCUUCGGACCUCACGCUAUCAGAUGAGCCUAGGUCGGAUUAGCUAGUUGGUGGGGUAAAGGCCUACCAAGGCGACGAUCCGUAACUGGUCUGAGAGGAUGAUCAGUCACACUGGAGCUGAGACACGGUCAAGACUACUACGGGAGGCAGCAGUGGGGAAUAUUGGACAAUGGGCGAAAGCCUGAUCCAGCCAUGCCGAGUGUGUGAAGAAGGUCUUCGGAUUGUAAAGCACUUUAAGUUGGGAGGAAGGGCAGUAAGUUAAUACCUUGCUGUUUUGACGUUACCAACAGAAUAAGCACCGGCUAACUUCGUG
rnacentral:rRNA from 1 species